rnacentral:rRNA from 1 species
CUACGGGGGGCAGCAGUCGAGAAACUUUUACAAUGCACGAAAGUGUGAUAGAGCAAGCCAAAGUGCUUUUCCGUAUUAGGAAAAGCUUUUGUGAGAUGUAAAAAGUCUCACGAAUAAGGACCGGGUAAGACUGGUGCCAGCCGCCGCGGUAAUACCAGCGGUCCAAGUCGCAGCCAUGUUUAUUGGGUCUAAAACAUCCGUAGCUUGUUAAGUAAGUCUCUUGUGAAAUCUGGCAUCUUAAGUGUCGGGCGAGCAAGAGAUACUGCUUGGCUAGAGACCGGGAGACGUAAGGAGUACAGUUAGGGUAGCGGUAAAAUGCGUUGAUCCUUACUGGACUAACAAUAGCGAAGGCAUCUUACGAGAACGGAUCUGACAGUGAGGGAUGAAGGCUAAGGUCGCAAAACGGAUUAGAUACCCGGGUAGUC